AUGGUCGACCCAGGUCUUACAGGAAAGCUUUUCCACAGCGUUCCACAGACAAAUGUUUCCUCAGCAGCCACUAAUUUUCCUACACACAGUGAGGACUCGUCCAAUAGGAGCAGUGGAAUCAUUCCUGGUAAACGUCUCGUCUCUCUUCACACACACAUUUCAGUCAUGCACAUCACAGUUAGUCAACAGCAGCUUCAUCAUGUUGUAGAAAUGAGAAGCACUCAGGCCAACACGGAGACACUGAUUCAUGCUUUUAUCACCAGUCGUACUGACUACUGUAAUGUUCUGCUUUCUGGUCUUCCCAAAAAGACUGUUUCAAGUUUGCAAUGACUACAAACAUCUGCAGCAUGUGUCCUGAUGAAGACCAGGAGGCAAGAACACAUUACUGUACACCCAUUUUAAAAUGGCUGCAUUGGCUCCCUGUGUUUUAAGGUUCUCUUACUGGUUUUUAAGUGUCUUAAUAGUCUUGGGCCUUCUUAUCUCUCAAAACGACUUUUACCCUAUGAACUUUCCCGGGUCCUGAGGUCCUCCAGAGCUGGUCUUUUAAUAAUCCCGACAGUCAGGACAUGCACUCACGGUGAGGCAUUGUUCCAGUUUUACGGCUCCCGUCUGAGGAACAGGCAGCAGAGAACGUUCAUGUUUUUAAGAAAAGGCUCUAGACCCACCUUUUCAAAUGAGCUUUUAACUAAUUAUUUAUUCAUUUUUGGAUUGUUAUCUUUCAUAUUUUUUUUUUUUAUAGUUUUAGGAUUGUUAUCUUUUAUGUUGUUUUUAUAUGUAUGGAGCGUGUUUUGUGCACUUCCUGUUUUUAGUUAGUCUACCAGUGAUCUAAUGUUUGCAGCUAACUCAGCAAACACAUGUUAUUGUGUGUGUGCAGGUUUAAUUGCAGCAGCUAUUUUCAUAGUGUUUGUUCUGGCGCUCUACGCCGUCCUAUGGAGAUGCAUGGUGUCACCACCACGGCGGUAAGGAGCCAAAACACUGGAUUAACACGAGUGUGUCAUUGCUGACUCAGCAAAGCUCUUACACUGAUGUUUGUUGGACUCACCUGUUUGGACUUAGCUUCCCUGAUUCUAAAGUUCUUCUCUGUUUUUUCAGGAAACAAUGCAAACUGAGAAUCCGAGGCAGAACCAAAGACCAAAUCAUGUAAACAGCACGUGCGUGUGUGCAUGCGUGUGUGUGUGUGCAUUAAUUGACACAUACACUCAAAAACUGUUUUUAAUCUAGUCAUUCACACUGUUAUUUUCUAAAGCUACGACUACUCUAUUGAUCAACAAUUGUGUGUGUGUGUGAUUUAUUUUCAUUAUUAUUUUUUUUUUUACAUUGUUGUAUUUGG
rnacentral:lncRNA from 1 species